GCCGGAGUGUGAAACUGGUAGACGCGCUGGACUCAAAAUCCGGCGGGCCUCCCACCCGUGAGGGUUCGACUCCCUCCCCCUGCACCA
rnacentral:tRNA from 1 species